AUGGCAUGGUUCGCAUCACCGGUCGUUCUUGGCGCCGUCUAUGUAGCUGCAUUGGCGUUCCGCCUCGUUCCUCACUUGGCUGUGUGCCUCCGGCGUCCCAAGGACCUCCGGCGCAGCUACGGCACGUGGGCCGUCACCACGGGGCCAACAUCCGGCAUUGGCUGGUCCCUGGCCGUGGAGCUCGCGCGCAGUGGGCUGAACCUUGUCCUCAUCGGCCGAGACCCGGCCAAGCUCCAGGACAUCUCCCAGACGAUAUGCAGGGCCGCUCCCACCGUGAAGACCAAGACUCUAGUCUUGGACUUGUCGCUCCUCGCCACCGCCCAUGGCGACGAGGUGAUGUGACGGCUGCGGCAGACCGUGGAGGCGCUGGACGUCGGCGUGUUGGAGCCCGGUGCGGUCUUCCUGCACGAGGCCGGCAUCGAGGAGUUGGUGGAUAUGAUACGGGUGAACCUGUUGGGGCUGACAGAGGUGACAGCGGCGGUGAUUCCGGGCAUGGUGGAGCACCGGAGGGGAGCUGUGGUCAACAUGGGCUCAGCUUCGUCAGAGGCCAUCCCCUCCUUACCCCUCUACACCAUGUACGCCGCUACUAAACGCUAUGUUGCUCAGUUCUCUAGGAGUCUUCACGUAGAAUAA
rnacentral:rRNA from 1 species